rnacentral:tRNA from 1 species
AUUUAUAUAGUAUAAAAAGUAUUUUUAAUUUCCAAUUAAAAGGUUUAUUAAUUAAUAUAAAUA